UCCAUGCCUCAGGCUUCAUGCCCAUUUGGUGUGUUUCUGUCCUGCUUCCUAAAUCAAUUUCAAGCCAAUAGUAGUUUGAAACAGUGUAGAAGACAGAGGAUGUAUUUUAGAGCAAGUCUUACCUAACAGAGUCAUUGGGUUCUUACGGUACAUGGAAUUCCAAGCUUUGGGUCUGUUUUCAGGCAUAAUUGAUUGCAUCUGAAGUUCAUUAUCAGUGCUCUGUUUAUGAAAUACCCAAAUAAGCAUUCCACUGAAUUAAUAUUCAGCUCUGAAAUUGAGUCUGCUAUUCAGAGAUCAUGUUUGUGAACCCACAGGGCAGGCAUAUAUACAGGAAAGAAAAUAGAAGCAGAUACAUUGAUUUAUAUAUAGCACUUUUCCUGGAAGCCCAGAAGAAUUGGUUAGUCUAGGUUAGUGCUAAGAGUCCUCAAAUUGGGGGCGGAAGCCUGAACUUUCCCUCUACCUCUGUGUCUGCUUCUGCCUGAAGAUUCUGUCAUCUUUAUUGUGCAGACAGUUAAAAAUGUAAAAUCAGAGAUUUGGAACUAUUGCUUUGCUGGAAACAUCUGACUGCUGGUCUAGAACAUGACUCCAGAUUCUCCAUGUACUGUGUGGUGAUGCUAUUACUUUGAACAUGACAGCAGCUCUGAGGGGUCAGUGUUGGGAGCCAAUGAGAAAGCUGAAUUUAAGUGACUCACCGGGACCUUUGGGACUCUUCAGAUGGAGAACAUGGCUGUGAAGGGACCUAUCAAUUUGGGCUCCUUCCAGAACUGAAAACUGGUUACAAAUAUGAAACAGAUUUAACUACUGGACUUGAACUCCACAUAAGGAAAAAAAAAAGGAAGAAGAUCCUCAAAGAUCCUCAUCAAAGAAUAGAUGCAGUGUGACUGGCAGGGAUAUCAAAGAGGUAAGAGAUUUGGGUAAGAGCUGUGACACAGCAGACAAUGGAAUGCUGUUGAUGGAGGGAAAGAAGAAUCUGUCUCGCUGCAUCAUGGGAACUAUUCUGAGACCUCAGGGCACUUUGUGUAUGUUGCUGAACCCUCACUGCUGCAUACUUGUGAACUUGGUGCUGCAGGGACCACGGAGUUAUAGAGUGCCCCUGCCUCCUUGGGCUCAAAGAGCUCCCAGUCCCAUGGAGGAGCUAGAUGUGCAGUUAGAUCAUCACAGUGCUCUGGGCCGUGCGAUCAUGUAUGUUCUUCCUGGAUAAAGGAGAAGCCUGGACCAGACUCUGCAGGCAGUGUGCCCUAAGUCAGGUGAUAUAAGUACUUCACUGCACCCUUCCUAGUCGUCCCAACAGCGCCUCAUGUACAGCCAUUAUCCUCCUAAAAGCCUUUCCCCCUCAGGCAAAAAUAACCUGCUUGGAAGAAAUUAUGAAGAGCUUUUCGGCUUCUUUUGAAGUUACAGUACCCGCCAAGUGACAUCCCCCGUGUUUCUGUUACACUCUUCCCGGAAGGACCAAGUCUCCUGAGUCAUAAGAUGGCAGCCAUCCUUUGCAGCCAUUGGCUUCCGAGGAGCAGGCAUUUCCAUCCAUCUGCAAAGGGAAGAAGAAUUAGCCGCCUGCUUGAAUCAACCAUAUGUGUGUUGGUUGGGGGCUGUUAGGAGACGUACCCCUGACGAGAGUCUAGUUGCCCAGCCAGCUUCCCUUUAUCAGAUGGGCUGGUGCCCGUUAUCAUUGUUCUCACAAGGUGAUAGCAGGAGUUGUUCCCUGUAAGAAGACGGUGGCAUUCUGGCAGGGUCAUCGUGGUGUUAAGAUGCAUAGCAUUUGUCAGGUUUGCCUAGGACUUCUGGAGGUUUAGUUAUGAAACUUGUUAAUUGAGCUAUAAAUAUAGCUGCAGCCUUUGCCUUCCAGUAAGGCAGUGUGUUAAUUUGGGUUUGGCAGGGGGAUGGUACAAGCUGCCAAUGUUAUGUUAGGAUUAGUAACGUGCGGUACAUUUUAACUCCACUUCCCCAUGUGCCACGCUUUCCUCCUCUGUUUGAUAUCUUUGUGAGGGAAGAGAGAAGAGAGGAGAGAGCAAGCUCAUUGUUAUGGGCAUCUCAUGUUAGGAGUGUUUAUCCGUGUUCCUGCUUUGCACCCUACAAGUCUCCAAGUGGAUGGAGUUAGGUACAUGGAGAGAGCCACGUGCGCCACCCCAGAGAGGGUUCAGCCACAACCUUCUGCCCCGAGAUUAGUGUAACCGUGGUUGCCAAGAGCAGGGUAUUUGCCCUUGCUCCCUCCCAGGAACUCCUCCCUAUAUUUAGAGCAUCUCUCUCUUUGUUAAAGUGAUCAUCAUAAAUAUGUGUUUUCCAUAAUAAAAAAUACAUCCUCCCCUUCUUUCACACAGAAGGAAUCACAUGGGGAAUGGAGUGGGUUUGUUUGCUUAUUUCUUCCUCAAAUACUUAUUAAGGGGUAAACAUGUCACUUGCUCAUCUCACUGAGGAAAAAGAAAUGUUAUGUUUUAAAGCUGCACAUACAAAUAACUUUGGCUGUGUCAUUUGUGGUCCUAGGGGGAAGGAAAGGGUACUGUUGAAGCAGUUAUUGCCCUGCCUGUUUUGAGAUGCUUGGUAAGUGAUAGCUAAAUGAAUGAAUGAGUAGGGCUCACUUAAGUAGUGUUUCGAAAGAAUGGUCUUUGUAGGUAGAUCACACCUACUUUUGUUUCUUAAAAUGUAUUACUGACCUGGAAAUAGGUUGGCAAAAAUGCAGAAUUCUGUUUGUUGGCAAUAUGAUAGAGGAAAGAACCCACUUCUGGCUAAAUAGUAUCAAACAUUUAAUUUCUUUUUUUUCUAAAUGAACCUGGCUUGAGUAGAAAUAUGAAAGAAUGUGGAAGUCUAACAUCCUGUGUGUGUCUCUGGAGAUAUCACUGAUUGCAUUUUCCCUGGUUAUGAAAUGUUAGAGAGAUCAGCUCCAACUCAAUAUUCUUUGUUUUUCAUUCUGCUUUCCCCCUCCAUGGGCAUGUCUCUCACCUCUGAUUAAGUAGAAAAUUCCAACUCUUUUUGUUUUGUUUAAUUAGAGCUGGAUGUCUUUCUCCCUUCUUUGGUUGAACUCUGGAAAUGAAGAUGGUAUGUCAUGGAUACAGAAAUGUGCUUCAGUCUAAUGAAGAUUGUAUUGAUUUUUUUUAUUUUUUACAGUGAAACCAUAGCCUGCCUCAACUGCACCAGCUGUUAAUUGUAUUUUUCCUAAGUCCUUUUGGUAUUCAUUUGAAAAGCAUUUUAUAACCCAUCUGGUGACCUUGCUGCUAACCAACAAUUAUAGUCUGACAUCUGAAUACAAAGAAUUUGGGGCAAGCCACAGUUGUACAUGGAAACCUUUAAAACAAUGUCUCCUUUAAUAUAGUCUUUACUAAAAAAAAUUGUGAAGAAAUG